rnacentral:rRNA from 1 species
AUUGAACGCUGGCGGCAGGCUUAACACAUGCAAGUCGAGCGAGUGGCGGACGGGUGAGUAAUGUCUGGGAAACUGCCUGAUGGAGGGGGAUAACUACUGGAAAAGGUAGCUAAUACCGCAUACCAUCAGAUGUGCCCAGAUGGGAUUAGCUGGUAGGUGGGGUAAAGGCUAACCUAGGCGACGAGCCCUAGCUGGUCUGAGAGGAUGACCAGCCACACUGGAACUGAGACACGGUCCAGACUCCUACGGGAGGCAGCAGUGGGGAAUAUUGCACAAUGGGCGCAAGCCUGAUGCAGCCAUGCCGCGUGUAUGAAGAAGGCCUUCGGGUUGUAAAGGACGGUCAGCGGGGAGGCGUUACUCGCAGAAGAAGCACCGGCUAACUCCGUGCCAGCAGCCGCGGUAAUAC